rnacentral:sRNA from 12 species
CAUGAUGAGCUGUCAUAGCUUGGAUUGUAUAGCAGGUAGUCGCAGUCGCCUACAUUAAAUAAUUUUUUUAAUGAAAAAAGACUCACUUUAAAUGAAUCUUUUUUAAACGUUAGGAUUGUUAUGAUUUUAACGAACUGU